GGGUUGGUAUAGUGGUCUAAGGCUUGGGACUUAGGCUCCUAAGGUCGGAGGUUCAAAACCUCUUAGAGCCU